UACAGAGGUCUCAAGCGUUGUUCGGAUUCAUUGGGCGUAAAGGGUGCGUAGGCGGCGCGGCAAGUCAGUCGUGAAAUCUCUCGGCUCAACCGAGAAACGUCGGCUGAUACUGCCGUUCUUGAGGGAUGCAGAGGAGACUGGAAUUCCCGGUGUAGCGGUGAAAUGUGUAGAGAUCGGGAGGAACACCGGUGGCGAAGGCGGGUCUCUGGGCAUUUCCUGACGCUGAGGCGCGAAAGCGUGGGGAGCAAACGGG
rnacentral:rRNA from 1 species